rnacentral:lncRNA from 1 species
AUGGCACUGAAAACAAAGAAGGAAGCUCCUAACCUCCCUAAAGCCAAAACCAAAGAGAAGGCCUUGAAAGUCAAGAAGGCAGUACCAAAAGGAAUCCACAGUCUAAAAAAAAAAAAAAAAAAAAAGGAAAAUCUGCACAUCACCUACAUUUUAGCAGUCUAAGACCCUGACAUUCCAGAAACAGCCCAAAUACUGUCAAAAGAGCUUGCCUAGGAGAAACAAACUUGACCACUAUGCCAUCAUCAAGUUGCCUCUGAUCACUGAGUCAGUCAUGAAGAAGAUAAAAGACAACAGCACACUUGAGUUCAUUGUAGAUGUCAAGACUAACAAGCACCAGAUCAAAUAGGCUGUGAAGAAGCUCUCUGACAUUGAUGUGGCCCAAGUCCGUAACACAGACUGAUAAGGCCUGAUGGGCAGAAGACAAAUGUUCUAUGACUGCCUUCUGGCUAUGAUGCUGAUGAUGUUGCUAACAAAAUUGGGACCAUCUAA